GACAGAACGGAUAUUGGAGUCUGUCGGCGGGACAAUGGUGCCAAAAGGCUCGUCUUGCUCUUACCGGAUCCUGUUUAAACAUAUUUGACAUUUACUCGCGGAACAAAUGUGCUGCUCUCUUGGCUGCUUGUGCACCUGUUCACAUCCCGCGUGGUCUUGACAAGGAUGGUGAUUUUUUUUUUUCAACCCAAAAAUUGUCAGGUCAGGACAAUGUGAAUUUUUGGAGGAGGAGGCAACAUUUCACGGAGGAAGUGUAAUGUAGCGCAAGAAGUCUUCCCACGGGGUCUUUCUGCGCUUAGAUGCUUUCAGCAUUCCCUCAUUGUGCAGAGCGUUCUUCCUGCUUUGUUUACAUUCCAGCGUGCAGCGCCCGACCAGUUCAAGGUGUCCUCUGUCAUCUGGGAGAGGCUCCAGCACCCCCACUGUGACCCUGUUCCGGAUACGAGUGUCGAAAAUGACAUGAAAUGACUGUCUUGUGACUCAAGAUGAAAUAAGCUACUUUCCAGGAUGCCGCCACAUCAAAGCCAAGAGGUCGUUUGUUUUUUGUUUUUUUUUUCCUCCCGAGCUCAGCUUCUGCCAGUGGAAUCAGCUUUCUUCAUUCAACCCGACAACAGGGGCGCUGCCAGGAAUUUGCCCAUGCCACAAAUACUUGAGAAACUAUCACUUUACC